UUACUGAUGAACGUCAAGAAAUUCAGAUUGCUUUUGGGAGACUGAACAAAGCAUAAUGCAAAAGGGAAACCAAAAUCAACCAGCAAAUUACAAAGUAAAAAAAUUGAAAUAUGAUUUUUCCUUAUGCCCAAAGAAUAGAGCUAUAAAAGUUGCAAAUAUAGUGCAUAACAGUCUCUUCUAAAGAUUCUAUCUUAAUUUCCUUAUGGGCAGCGCUCGUCCAAAGAGUUUUUCCACCUCAUUUGCUUCCAUUUUUAGAUCAUUCAAUAUUUCCAUCUCUUCCCUACUUAGCUCUCUCAGGAUAAUUUCCUCAUCUUGCUGGAGCUCUUUAAACCCUUCGGCUAAUCUCUGAAGCAAUGUCAUUUCAGUCUUCCCCACCUCCCCUUCAAUUUCUUCCACCUCUCUUAUAAUGGUCUUCUCCCCUUCCUCUACUGUCUUCUCCAGUCUCUCAACAAGGGGAGGUUCAGGCCCACAAGUAUUAUCUGUUCUAAUGAACUUGUUGAAAUCUUGUCCUAUGCUUUUAGCUGCUCUUUCCAGUUCAGGUACAAUGCUUCCUGGCAAAACCGCACUUCUUGUGUACACAACAGCACCACCAUAUCCCUCCCACGCAUCAUUCCUGCCCCGGUAGUACACAAAGAUGUAAUCAUCGCUGUUAUUUUCCACCUUGGAUGAUAGAAUAUACCUGCAUCCAUAUAUGAUAAUGGUUAAUCAUUCUGGUCUAAUUCAGCAAACCAAACAAUCAUGGUAUUCAAUGCUGCAGGAGAAAAUUCACUCUCUUUAUUUGACGAUGAUUUAAAGAACUGAAAUGGUUAUCUUCUCUAUCAACAAGGCUGCCUGAAUUAAGAUAGUUAAGCUAUUCAGUUAUUCUUUGCUCACAAGGUGUUGCAGGGUUUGCAUGUCAUGAGCCAUGAAGGUCCAUGCAUGUUAUCAGGUGUCAUAUCUGUAUGAAAAUUAGAACAAUGUCUACAACAAAGUGUGGCUAGUGCAAAUGCAUGUGAAUAAUGCCCCAAUAGAUCAGUGCUCAGAAACUACUGUCUCUUGCCUCAAUGGUGAGACUGGUAACUGGUAGGAGGGCUCAAGGGUUCCGAUCUAUUAUUGAUUUAGGACAAAAAUGAAAGGGAGAGGGGGGAAGACAAACUUGUUUCAAAAUUUUCCCCAUUUGCGUAGAAUUAAAAGAGAACUACUGUUGACAACUUUCUCGUGUCCAACUAGCUAAGAGGAUUAACAGGCACCACUGCACUUGACAUCAAAGUGAGAACUAUCAAGGGAAAGAGCAAAAAGAUUUUGCUUCAGGACACAUCUUCUGUCCCAUUAAGUCACUCUAUAAUCUAUUUGGAUUUAUUUGAAAGUUCUUCGUAUAGGCAGAACUUAAAACUAGUUUUGUUAGCAGCCACAGUAUAUUAAAGAUAUAUCAAAAUGGUAGCAGAACAGGAAGAAGGCAUGCACCAAUCAUCUUGAUAGUGAAGAUACUCAUUGUCAUGAUUGUAGAGUAUUCCAGGCUGCAUGGCAUCUUGAACAAAUCUCUGUACAGUUGAACGAGUGAAGAAGCCACUAUCUGGAGUCCGUAUUCUCCAUGAUAAAUUUCCCACAAGUUUGUUAGAUUCUACAUGAAAUUCAUGCAAUUGGCAGUCAAAAGUAUCAAAGGUAGGAUUUAAGCCACUGGUAAUAUACCACUUCCCAUUAAAAUCUGCCAUGUUAAAGCUCUUGACCAGAACAGCUGGAUCAGGGACAGGAAAUUGCCCAACAUCAGAUUUCUGAGGUACACAGUUCUUUCUCGAGACUGCACACCCAUUGAAUUCAUCAACUACACUGUUUUCAAACAGGUCCCCACAUUUGAUCUGGCAUUCAGUCUCAUCAGGCCGGUUAUUGCAUGUCUGAAGGCAAGCGAUAUUGGCGGCACAUGCUGGGUUUGCAAUGCACUUAGCCAAUUCUAACCUAACAAUCAAAAGCCUCCAAUCAGAAGAAAUGAUAAAGUUUUGACAUAUGAGAUAGCCAUAUUAACUGAAAAGAAAAUCAGAAUUGUAACACACUUAAAUUAAAGGGUUAACCCUUUUAAUUAAAUCCAACUCUGUUGCAGAACAAAACUAAUUUUUAAUAGGGAAAAUUAUGAUUUAGUCCCUCAAUUUUAAAGGACUAACUACUUGGUCAUCCUAUUUCGAAAAAUACAUUAGUUAAACCCUGUAUUUUUGUUUAGUUUACUCUUUAGUCCUUUGGUCAUUUUAGGUGUUAAUUUGAAAUUCAUUCAAUCACUAUAAUUUCAAAGAUACAACUAUAUAGUCUUUCUAUUUUCUAAGCUGUGAACUAUUUAGUCCCCGUAAUAGUAAUUUCUCUCUCCUUUAAAUAUAUUGACUAACAAAAAACUUAAUUUAAACUAGACAAAGGGAUUAAAAAGUAGACGAAACAAAAAUAUGGGAACCAACUAAUAUAUUUUUGAAAAUUGGACUAAGUAGUUAAUUUUAUUAAAAUAGAGGAACUAAAUAGUAAUUUUCUCUUUUGAAUUUUUGAUGACAAUGCUUCCACAAGUAUGAAUGGUGUCCUAGCAUAUGAAGCUUCCCUUAUCGUGUGUGUUGGGGAGGAUUAGACAUAAGCAACACCCCCCUUGCAUUGCAAGGAGGUUGUUUUGGCAGCUAGAGCUUGUGAGCUGUAGGUCACAACUGAGCAAACGUAAAGUUGCAUUAAGGUUCACUGUCAUCAUUAACAGAUAUAAAUAACAGAAAAGAGGGUAAAAUAUAGUGGAUAAAAUACAUACAGAUGAAAUGAGGAAACUUGAAGAUUACAGGAUUGAAUCUUAAUUUAGACUAAGGAAAUUUGAAUUACCUGCACUCCUUCAAUAAGCAAGUACAAGUUUUCAGAGCAUCAACAGCAUCAGCUGAUGGAAUGACCAAUAAUGCACAUGCUAGUAUGCUGGCAACUUUCAAGAACUGCAAGUGACUCUUUUCUUUUAGGUUUUUUGACACACUCAACAUCAGAAAAUUAAGCACUUCUUUUGCCUUGAAGAAUUAAAAGGAAAAAGAAGAAAAGAAUCAGAAAAAAGUGAAACAAAAGAGGGGCAAUAAUUACCUCCACAUUGAAAAAACAAAGGUAUUAUUACUCAGGAGCUACCUUAGUUACAGUUGCACCAGUACUACACAAUGAGGAAUACUUCUUUGUCCAGCCCGAGAAUCGAUGUGAGCAUCUUAGCUUGAGCCCAUGAUAAUUCCUAUGAUUUCUAACUAAUUUUACAUGUCUUGACUUUCUGCUAUUGGGCCAAAAGUUCAACACAACUAUACUUUGAAAAUGAAGUCCCCUCCUCCCAUGAAAUUUUUCAUAACUUGCAAUUCCUGAUCUGAUGUACGAACUACAAAUACUUUCUUCAUGAGAUAAAAAGAAUGAGUUUGCAGACAGCGCCAUACUUCCUCUUUAAACUUCCAAUUGCAAUCUAAGAAUGACCACAUUAGUCAGUUUCCGAUCUUGUUUCUAGUCCUCUAAACCAACCAACUAAAACCCCAAUUAAAACUAGCAAUAUAACAUCUCCCAAUUUCCUCUAAUCUAAAAUUAACUUAUGACCCGCAAGAAAAUUCAUGAUUGUUCUGCAAAUCAUGCAAAUUCCUACUAGAACUUCACCAAUAUAUUAGUAGGUACAUGCACAAAUAGUAAACACCGUACCAACAUAACCUAAAUUGGACAGUCUUGCUUGUGCUUGAAUUGAAAAUGUCAACAUUCUUGAAUAAAGCAAAGAACUUUUCAUUAACAUCUUUUGCUGUUCACCGAAGUUUGAUACUAAUUACGUAAAGAGUCCUAUCAAGAAAGAACCGAUUGCAAACUAAAUCCUAUUUCCAAGAAAGAGAAAAUCAUGGCAAAAUUAGCAGGAAACAGAUAAUUAGAAGAACAAUACAAGCAUUACCAGACAAGUGUACUUGAAUGCAAGAAUAUUGAUACAGAGAGAGAGAGAGAGAGAGA
rnacentral:misc_RNA from 1 species